rnacentral:ncRNA from 2 species
CUCUGAAAAGUCCUUUAAAUAGGCACCGUAGGAGAAAGCCAUGGUUGAUGAUGGCGAUACUCUCAGGUAAGCAAACAGAG